UACGAAGGGGGCAAGCGUUGUUCGGAAUUAUUGGGCGUAAAGGGAGCGUAGGCGGUUCGGCAAGUCUUUAGUGAAAGCGCCCGGCUCAACUGGGCGAGGUCCGUGGAAACUGGUCAGCUGGAGGACGGUAGAGGCGAGUGGAAUUCCCGGUGUAGUGGUGAAAUGCGUAGAGAUCGGGAGGAACACCUGUGGCGAAGGCGGCUCGCUGGGCCGGUCCUGACGCUGAGACGCGAAGGCGUGGGGAGCGAACGGG
rnacentral:rRNA from 1 species